rnacentral:rRNA from 1 species
GACGUAGGGCGCGAGCGUUGUCCGGAUUUAUUGGGCGUAAAGAGCUCGUAGGCGGCUCGUUGCGUCGGCUGUGAAAACCCGCAGCUCAACUGUGGGCUUGCAGCUGAUACGGGCGGGCUGGGAUUCGGUAGGGGAGACUGGAAUUCCUGGUGUAGCGGUGAAAUGCGUAGAUAUCUGGAGGAACACCGGUGGCGAAGGCGGCAUCCUGGACCGGUAUUGACGCUGAGGCGCGAAAGCUAGGGGAGCAAACGGG